UACGUAGGGGGCAAGCGUUGUCCGGAUUUAUUGGGCGUAAAGAGCGUGUAGGCGGCCAGGUAGGUCAGCUGUGAAAACUCGAGGCUCAACCUAGAGACGUCGGUUGAAACCACCUGGCUAGAGUCCGGAAGAGGAGAGUGGAAUUCCUGGUGUAGCGGUGAAAUGCGUAGAUAUCUGGAGGAACACCGGUGGCGAAGGCGGCAUCCUGGACCAACACUGACGCUGAUGAGCGAAAGCCAGGGGAGCAAACGGG
rnacentral:rRNA from 1 species